AACCUCCGCAAUGUGAGAAAUCGCGACGGGGGGAUCCCAAGUGCCAUUCUUAACGGGAUGGCUUUUCAUUAGUGUAAAGAGCUUUUGGAAUAAGAGCUGGGCAAGACCGGUGCCAGCCGCCGCGGUAACACCGGCAGCUCUAGUGGUAACAAUUUUUAUUGGGCCUAAAGCGUCCGUAGCCGGUUUAAUAAGUCUCUGGUGAAAUCCUGUAGCUUAACUGUGGGAAUUGCUGGAGAUACUAUUAGACUUGAGACCGGGAGAGGUUAGAGGUACUCCCAGGGUAGAGGUGAAAUUCUGUAAUCCUGGGAGGACCGCCUGUUGCGAAGGCGUCUAACUGGAACGGUUCUGACGGUGAGGGACGAAAGUUAGGGGCGCGAACCGGAUUAGAUACCCGGGUAGUCCUAACUGUAAACGAUGCGGACUUGGUGUUGGGGUGGUUUUGAGCUGCUCCAGUGCCGAAGGGAAGCUGUUAAGUCCGCCGCCUGGGAAGUACGGUCGCAAGACUGAAACUUAAAGGAAGU
rnacentral:rRNA from 1 species